GGAGAUCACGCUGCACUCUACCCUGGGCAACAGAGCAAGACUCAGUCUCAAAAAAAAAAAAAGUUUGUGACAUGGUUCAUCCACAGCAGAACUUUUAGUCUUAGAAACUUGAGGAAUGAGGGAAAGAUCUAGAUGUAACUUUAUUAAGUUAGUUAACACUUCUAUGCCUUGGUUUCUUCAUCUGCAUAAGGGGGAUAAUAACAUGUCUGGCUCAUAAUAACUGCUUAGUAAGCAUUAUUAUUAGUUUUUCUGAAAGUAUUUAAGCACCAAGAGCGCAUGGACUUUGUCUUGUUCCCUGUCUUCAACACUUUCUGUGUAUCAGAUUGUGUAGACAUAGUUCCUGCAUUCAUUGAGCUUGCAAUCUAGUCAACACACAUAAUUGUAGAUAAUAAAUUGUGUUCAUAAUAAGGUAAAUGAAUAAAGCUUUUAUGCUUCCCUUAGAAACUAGUUAUUUAAAGAACAUCUAACUGCUAAUUUUCUACAAUGACAGUGUUGUUUUGUUUGCUUGUUGAAGAUGAAAUCCUGAAAGGAGUGUUAGGCUGUUAGCCUUGUGGUUGUGCAACUUUUCUGCUUGUACUACUGAUGAUUGAAUCUUCUCUGAUGUCUUGGGACUUGGAAGAUGCAGGUUUCAGUUCUAGUUCUGCUACUGAUUUUUGUACAUGACUCCAAGCAAGUUACUUCUUAACCUUGUCUAAUUGAAGUGUUGGUACUAAAUGAUUUCUAAGAUUUUUUCCAACUAUUAUUUUGUUAUUAAUCAAAUUCUCCAAAUUAUGUUUUCAGGGAGGGGAGCAGGGAACUGUUGAUAUUUAUGUAUGUUUGCCUUAAAACUGAAGGCUGAAAUUUAAAUGUUGAGCUCAUUUUCAUAAUUGUAUUUUGGUUUUAUUUACAGAUGCCAGAAGUGGGUGGAGAAUUGUAGGAGAGCCGACUUAGAAGAUAAAACACCUGAUCAGCUAAAUAAACAUUAUCGAUUAUGUGCCAAACAUUUUGAGACCUCUAUGAUCUGUAGAACUGUGAGUAAUAGAAGAACUUGGUGUCUCUGUUUGUCUUUUUAUUCUCUCUGUCACUCUGUCUGGUUAGAAAUGUAAGUAUUUAUCUACUAAUGUUCUAGAGUGUAAUUAAUGAAGUGUACGAUGUGGCGUUUACAUAGCAUAAUAGUUUUUAUUGUUUCAGAAAAAGUGGGAUUAAUAUGCUUCUUUUUUAAAAAGGUGAAAUUAUCAACCCAGCUUAGGUCAGUGACAGGGUUUAUGUAAAAAAACAAAACAAAACA